GACGAACGCUGGCGGCGUGCUUAACACAUGCAAGUCGAACGGAAAGGCCCUGCUUUUGUGGGGUGCUCGAGUGGCGAACGGGUGAGUAACACGCGAGUAACCUGCCCUUGACUUUGGGAUAACUUCAGGAAACUGGGGCUAAUACCGGAGAGGAGCUCCUGCUGCAUGGUGGGGGUUGGAAAGUUUCGGCGGUUGGGGCUGGACUCGCGGCUUAUCAGCUUGUUGGUGGGGUAGUGGCUUACCAAGGCUUUGACGGGUAGCCGGCCUGGGAGGGUGACCGGCCACAUUGGGACUGAGGUACGGCCCAGACUCCUACGGGAGGCAGCAGUGGAGAAUCUUACACAAUGGGCGGACGCCUGAUGCAGCAGCGCCGGGUGCGGGAUGACGGCCUUCGGGUUGUAAACCGCUUUCGCCUGUGACGAAGCGUGAGUGACGGUAAUGGGUAAAGAAGCACCGGCUAACUACGUG
rnacentral:rRNA from 1 species